GAAUGACAAUGUUGAGAAUUCUCUUGAUAGCUACCGCAAAGCCUUUGACGUUGUUUACCUGAAUGAUGCACCCAUGUGGGGAGUUGUAAAGCUUGUUUCACAACUCUGUCCAAGUGAUGGUCAUUGAG